rnacentral:tRNA from 1 species
GGGCGCAUAGCUCAGUGGUAGAGCGUCUGUUUUACACACAGUUGGUCAUAGGUUCAAAUCCUGUUGCGCCCA